UACGAAGGGUGCAAGCGUUACUCGGAACUACUGGGCGUAAAGCGUGCGUAGGUGGUUCGUUAAGACUGUCGUGAAAGCCCCGGGCUCAACCUGGGAAUGGCGAUGGAUACUGGCGGGCUAGAGUGCGGUAGAGGAGAGUGGAAUUCCCGGUGUAGCAGUGAAAUGCGUAGAUAUCGUGAGGAACACCAGAGGCGAAGGCGGCUUCCUGGACAAUUGCUGACGCUCAGGCACGAAAGCGUGGGGAGCAAAAGGG
rnacentral:rRNA from 1 species